AGUGAACGCUGGCGGUAGGCCUAACACAUGCAAGUCGAACGGCAGCACAGUAAGAGCUUGCUCUUACGGGUGGCGAGUGGCGGACGGGUGAGGAAUACAUCGGAAUCUACUUUUUCGUGGGGGAUAACGUAGGGAAACUUACGCUAAUACCGCAUACGACCUACGGGUGAAAGCAGGGGAUCUUCGGACCUUGCGCGAUUGAAUGAGCCGAUGUCGGAUUAGCUAGUUGGCGGGGUAAAGGCCCACCAAGGCGACGAUCCGUAGCUGGUCUGAGAGGAUGAUCAGCCACAUUGGAACUGAGACACGGUCCAGACUCCUACGGGAGGCAGCAGUGGGGAAUAUUGGACAAUGGUCGCAAGCCUGAUCCAGCCAUACCGCGUGGGUGAAGAAGGCCUUCGGGUUGUAAAGCCCUUUUGUUGGGAAAGAAAAGCAGCAGGUUAAUACCCCGCUGUUCUGACGGUACCCAAAGAAUAAGCACCGGCUAACUUCGUG
rnacentral:rRNA from 1 species